AACAGUGGUGUAUCUUUAAGCAACUUUUAGAAUGUUCCACCAGGUACCGUUCAGUCCAGCAAACAGUAUUACACACUAAAUGCUAGUCUCCGAGUUGGCCCCAGGGGCUCAGACUUGGUGAAGCCCUGGAUCCUCCCUUCCUGGGCGCUCACUAGCCAACCCUUGGAGAAAUCCUCCUCACUGCCCUCCUCUCCCCCAGUACUCUCCAGCUCAGAACAUCUCCACUGGCACAUUUUGAGCUCAUCGUCCUCAUCCUCCUCCUGACCAGCCCACUCUGUGCUGCAUGUCUCUUGACAUUUAUGGUAACUCGAGAUUCCUUCUCAAGGGGAGAAGGGAGAGAUGAUGAGAGGUAUGAAAGACCUGAUCAAAUGCAAGUUCACUCCAGUCUCUCCUAGGCCUCCACUUCACUUACCUGACUUCUGUUACUCGGCGGCUUUGGGUGUGGGAGAUUUGGAAGCAAAUGCCCCAUCCUGCUGGGCUAGGUUUUGGGCAAAUGUUAGUGAAUAGUCUCUGAGCAUGAGUCUAGACCCAAUGGGAAGUAAUGCUUUAGCAUAAAAAUGUGGAAAUGUCUAGAAAUCAUAAAUCCCAUCUGUCAAGGCCAAGAUUGAAAUCCUGACUCCACCUGUCUCCAGUAUUUGUCUCUUUAGGAUCAGGUACCUUAAAAGACCUCUCAUUUCAUUUUUAAAACUUUCUAAAGGAAACUGGAUCAGAUUAGAGCACCCCCAACUUGGUCAGUUCCUGUGAGGCCACAGGAUGAGGACGUGCUGCCAUUAGGCUGCAGGCCCUGCAUAGUCCUGUCUGAUGGCAGUUAGUCAGUCAUCUGCUGUCACAGUAGGGCUGAGCAAGGCCGGGCUAAGACAUUCGUGUGCUAGGUCCUGAGACUCUCUUGACUUUUUUUUUUUAAAAAGACUCAAUGUCUUAAAAUAGCAUGGUAGCUGAAACAACAGUACCAACAACAACAAUAAUAGCUUGCCAUUCCUGAGAAUGGUUGUUUGUUUAAAAUCCGAGGCCUGGGUUCUGGCAGCAGUUCGUUUCCACGAGCGGGGCUCCCACAAGAGUUGCUCUAAUGGAAAUCAUAUGGUCUCGUCGUGACCGGAAACACAGGGGUCUGUGAAGCGUUCUCCCACCCCCUCCGUAAGGAAUUUUCUGACAGUAACUACACACCCUAGAGCUGGAAAUAGGUGGUGUAGACCUGAUCAUUUGAAGAAGCUUAGGAUGCUACUGUGUUCCUAUUCGAAUAAUAACGAUGAGUCCGCGCUUUGGGCUUGGCUCUCCAGUCUAACCUACAUGCAGUCUGCCCUCCCCUCGCCAAGUCUGAAGAGGACAUUUUAACUGCCUUGUUGAGAGAAGGAGUCGGAGAGUUGGGGCGGCCGCAGCGUAGUUCUCUGCAUUGCUGGGAUCCCCACGCUGCCCUCUGAAUGGAUAGUCCUCAGUCAGCUCUGGACUCCCCAUCUUCUCAGUAGUUCUUGCCGUGCUGGCUGGCUGUGGAAAAACUCACCAGGUCCCCGUGCACCCAUAGGCUCAGCUGCUUUCCCCGUUGCUCCAUAGAGUAGUCCCCACAUCACACUCGGGAAAGUUCUCUGUCUCUAGUCCCCUUCCCAUACUGAAAAGCCUUCCCAGAGCCACAGUUUGGGGGAAGGGGGGAGGAUGGAGAGGAUGAGGGAGACGCAGAAUGAGCAGGCCUGGGGCGGCUUAUAUGUGGGAAGGAGUGAAAUGACCCUUUCGACCUUGGGUCACGUGCACUCUAGACUUCUGGACAGUCCUGAAUGGCAGAGUCACUAAUGGCUUUAUGACAGUCGCCUUUUUCUGACUCCUUCGGCAGCCCCGGGUAGCAUCCUUGGCCUCCUUGAUUUCAGAUUUUGACAGGUGAUAAAAGCACAUACUGAGAUCGCUGCUUCACAGAGUCCAGAUUCAUAACUAUCGACUGAUGUGAUUUUUUUUUUCUUUGCUGAGACGCUCCCUCAUGUGUUUGCUGUUACUUUAAUGGAUUGCUUCCUGAUACAUUCUCAGCCCCGGGCACUUGCCCUUCAGUCUGGCAAACUGCAGCUUGACCUGAAUGGAAUCGGAUUCAGACCAGUCAGUUGGCAACACGACUCACUUUUUUCCCCCUAGAAAAUAUAGUCAGUGUAAGCAGGAACUACGAGUGUUCUAAUUUGCAUCUUCGUGGAGUUUAACUUUAAUCAGGAUACUCCAGGCUGUUUCACUUCUGUUCUCUCCAUUUUUGACAUCUUAAACACCCUGCAGGUACAGUGGCUGGCCCCGUGCUUCGGAGAGCUGAAUGGAAAGUGCUUGGUGAUGAUGAUGUAUUUGUCAGUAGUAAUUACACUGAUAAACAGAGAAGGCCUCCAGUUGUUCUGGUCUAUCAUGACCCUGCCAGUAACCCAUUGUUCUCCCAAAGGGUCUGCAGUGGGUUUUCAUGGGAUAUCUCCUACCGGUUCUCUUUCUUCCUCUCUCCCUCUGAGGGCCACGUGUGCGGUUUGGGGCAGGAAAUCCCCACUGUUCUUGUUUCCCCCCAGCUCUGGUUGGAAAGACAUCAGAGUGUCCAGGGCAGAGCCCAGGCCUGAGAUCCCAGCAGGCCAGACAGGCAGCAGAUGCCGGUUGCUUUUUUCCACUUUGUAUUUACCAUUCCCUUGCUUAGAGUUUGGGGGACCAAAACCCACAGGUUAUUGAAAGCAUGAGAGUAAUUUGACUUCUGACUGGAUGGGGGCUCGGGGUUGUUUGGUGUUUUGUUUCUGAUUUGAAAGCAGCUGUUUGGUAACCACUAACUCUUCCCUUAUUCUUUUCUUGCAGAUGAGCUCACAGUGCCUGCACUUUACCCCAGUAGCCCUGAAGUGUGGGCCCCGUACCCUCUGUACCCAGCGGAGUUAGCGCCUGCUCUACCUCCUCCUGCUUUCACCUAUCCCGCUUCACUGCAUGCCCAGUGUUUCUCUCCUGAGGCAAAGCCCAACACACCUGUCUUUUGUCCACUUCUCCAGCAAAUUAGAUUUGUCUCUGGGAAUGUGUUUGUAACAUACCAACCUACUGCAGACCAGCAGAGGGAGCUCCCAUGUUGAAUUUGCUUGUUAGCUAUUUUUCCCCCAUUUUGCAAAAAUUAUUUCUUGGUAACAUUUGAGAGAUUUCAAUAAAAAUUUUAAUCAGAGCAAAAAUUAUCUCAAGUA